rnacentral:misc_RNA from 1 species
GCUACUACCGAUUGAAUGGUUUAGUAAGGACUCCUGAUUGGCGCCGCCGCCCCGGCAACGGAGCAGCGGACUGCCGAAAAGUUGUUCAAACUUGAUCAUUUAGAGGAAGUAAAGUCGUAACAAGGUUUCCGUAGGUGAACCUGCAGAAGGAUCAGAACGGAAGAGCAAACGGUUUAAAUCCAGGUACGUGGCCUUUUUCCGGAUGCAGUUCUCUUGCUGGAACAAAAAAUUAUUACAAUCAUCUAAUCAACACACACACUUCUCGACCUUCGUGUAU